GGAUGUGAGGGUUAUCUGGCUGUGACAUCUGUCACCCCUCUGAUUGCCAGGGUUGAUUCGGCUGAUUUGGUUGGCUAGGUGGGUGCCCCCUUCCUCCAUCAACUCUCCACGUGCUUCCCUGCAUGCUCAGUUGAAGAGGACGACCUACCCCAUAGAGGAGUACUGGUCUCAAGAGUGUGUGAGUUCUGUGCUCCCCUCCUAGAACCUCCAAAGAAGCUCUCAAUAUAGUUGAUUUUAUUGAUUGAUUAAUAUUUUUCUAAUC
rnacentral:snRNA from 1 species